rnacentral:tRNA from 1 species
CGUCGACCAGGGCAUAGGACGGGAUGUCGUCGACGUUGUUGGCGUCGGUGCGCUGCCCGAUGUAGCGUACGCCGGCUCCAGCCCGGAAGCCGCCGA